rnacentral:rRNA from 1 species
GGACGGCAGCACGGGGGCAACCCUGGUGGCGAGUGGCGAACGGGUGAGUAAUACAUCGGAACGUGUCCUGGAGUGGGGGAUAGCCCGGCGAAAGCCGGAUUAAUACCGCAUACGCUCUGUGGAGGAAAGCGGGGGAUCUUCGGACCUCGCGCUCAAGGGGCGGCCGAUGGCAGAUUAGCUAGUUGGUGGGGUAAAGGCCUACCAAGGCGACGAUCUGUAGCUGGUCUGAGAGGACGACCAGCCACACUGGGACUGAGACACGGCCCAGACUCCUACGGGAGGCAGCAGUGGGGAAUUUUGGACAAUGGGGGCAACCCUGAUCCAGCAAUGCCGCGUGUGUGAAGAAGGCCUUCGGGUUGUAAAGCACUUUUGUCCGGAAAGAAAACCUAUGGGUUAAUACCCCGGGGGGAUGACGGUACCGGAAGAAUAAGCACCGGCUAACUACGUG